GUUUACCUACGGGAGGCAGCAGUAGGGAAUCUUCCACAAUGGACGAAAGUCUGAUGGAGCAACGCCGCGUGAGUGAAGAAGGGUUUCGGCUCGUAAAGCUCUGUUGGUAGUGAAGAAAGAUAGAGGUAGUAACUGGCCUUUAUUUGACGGUAAUUACUUAGAAAGUCACGGCUAACUACGUGCCAGCAGCCGCGGUAAUACGUAGGUGGCAAGCGUUGUCCGGAUUUAUUGGGCGUAAAGCGAGUGCAGGCGGUUCAAUUAGACUGAU
rnacentral:rRNA from 1 species